rnacentral:rRNA from 1 species
AACGAACGCUGGCGGCAUGCCUAACACAUGCAAGUCGAACGAGACCUUCGGGUCUAGUGGCGCACGGGUGCGUAACGCGUGGGAACCUGCCCUUAGGUUCGGAAUAACUCCCCGAAAGGGGUGCUAAUACCGGAUAAUGUCUUCGGACCAAAGAUUUAUCGCCUUUGGAUGGGCCCGCGUUGGAUUAGCUAGUUGGCAGGGUAAAAGCCUACCAAGGCGACGAUCCAUAGCUGGUCUGAGAGGAUGAUCAGCCACACUGGGACUGAGACACGGCCCAGACUCCUACGGGAGGCAGCAGUGGGGAAUAUUGGACAAUGGGCGAAAGCCUGAUCCAGCAAUGCCGCGUGAGUGAUGAAGGCCUUAGGGUUGUAAAGCUCUUUUACCUGGGAUGAUAAUGACAGUACCGGGAGAAUAAGCUCCGGCUAACUCCGUG